CAUUUGCGUCAGUUAAGAGCAAAAAGCGACCAGCUACAUUUACCAAAGCCUGGGUGAUGUGGAGUGGUACAUAAAGAUGAAGCUGUCGUCAUGGCAACAGUGAGUGAAGUAUCGAAAAUCCCCAAGGAGAAGCCAGUGCUCUGAGAAUAGGUCACUGGAAUCGGGGGACUAACAGACUGGAAGUCAUAGCUGCCCUAACGGUUUCAUCCAAGAUUUGUCACCUCUGAAGUGUUCUGCUAACAAGAUAAGCUGAGCCUGGACACCUAAACGCACUCUGAAUGAUGCCUUGCAGAUCCUGUUAAUGAGACAGAAGCUGCAGUAGUUCAUGUCAAACCUUCUGGGAGCUGCUUCUCAGCCCCAUAGGAAGAGCAGGGGGAGCUCACACUUCAUGUGUAUGGUUAUACAAUGUGAUGCUUUUCUUGGUGAAGUGGAUGGCUUGUUGUAUCCUUUGACCACUGGUGAUACGCAUCCUUCCAGGACUCCAAGCCCCCUGAUACUUGAUCAGAACUACAUAAACACCAAAAAUCAAGUAAUCAAAGCAGAAAGGAGGGUACUGAAGGAGUUGGGAUUUUGUGUUCAUGUCAAGCAUCCACAUAAGAUCAUUGUUAUGUAUUUACAAGUCUUAGAAUGUGAACGUAAUCAAACCCUGGUACAGACAGCCUGGAAUUACAUGAAUGACAGCCUUCGGACAAAUGUGUUUGUUCGCUUUCAGCCAGAGACCAUAGCGUGUGCUUGCAUUUAUCUUGCUGCUAGAGCUCUGCAGAUUCCACUACCUACCCGUCCUCACUGGUUCUUGCUUUUUGGCACCACAGAAGAGGAGAUUCAGGAGAUUUGCUUAACAACUCUUAAGCUCUAUACCAGAAAGAAGCCCAAUUAUGAAUUCCUGGAUAAAGAAGUAGAAAAAAGGAAAAUGGCACUACAGGAAGCUAAACUGAAGGCAAAAGGUUUAAACCCAGAUGGAACUCCAGCACUCUCAACACUGGGUGGCUUUUCUCCUGCAUCCAAACCAUCUUCCCCGAGAGAAGUAAAAACGGAAGAGAAGACUCCAGUAUCUCUGAAUACCAAAACCAUUAAAAAAGAGCCAGAAGAGAGGCAGCAAGCUUCAAAGAGCCCUUACAAUGGCAUGAGAAAAGAAAGCAAGAGAAGUAGAAGCAGCAGAAGCGCUAGUCGAUCUAGGUCAAGAACAAAGUCAAGGUCUCGAUCUCACACUCCUAGGCGGCACUACAAUAAUAGGCGGAGCCUGUCUGGGACAUACAGCUCAAGAUCACGAAGCAGGUCCCGCAGCCACAGUGGCAGCCCUCGCCGCCACCACAAUCACGGCUCGCCACACCUGAAGACCAAGCAUAGCAGGGAAGAGUUGAAGGGUGCAAAUAGACACGGUCACAAAAGGAAAAAAUCUCGUUCGCGUUCACAGAGCAAAUCCAGGGAUCAUUCGGAUGCUGCCAAGAAGCACAGGCACGAGCGGGGACACCACAGAGAGCGGCGCGAGAGGUCCCGCUCCUUCGAGAGAUCUCACAAAGGCAAACACCACGGCAGCGGCCGCUCAGGACACAGCAGGCACAGGCGCUGAGAUUAGUGGGGCGUGUGGGAUCUUGAUGUGCUGGUAUUGCAAAUGAAAGACUCGAAAAGAUUCAGAAGUUGGUGUCCUUCUGUGGGGAGGCACGGGGAGGCCAGGCCCACUUCUGGAACAGCAGGAACUUCCCCGCAGUGGGAAUACACAAGCACGGAGGGCUCUGUCACCAUCAGUGGGACAAGCAGCUGCUGAAGGGGUGGCGGGAUGAUGGCAGUGGAAGGAUCCUGCUGUGUGGUGCUUGUGCAGCUUUUGGCUGAGCUCCUUGGGGUGCCUCUGCAGGUAGAGCUGCCCCCGCCACCACUGCUGUGCUGCUGCUCUGGACUUGAGGGUCCCAGUGACUCAGCUGGGGGAGGCUCCUGAGCCCACCAGCGCCCCUCGCUCCAGAGCUGAAGAGCAGAAGUUAACUUCCGUGUAAAGCUGGAACAUCUGGCGAUGCUCAAUGUCUAGAUGCCAUCUGCUGCAGAUUGCUUACGCCCUGAGCUUGCAGUCAGCUAGCAAGAAGUUCAGCGUUCGCUCUUCCACGGGAAAAGAA